CACUGGUCACCUCUGUGGGCCUUGGCUGAACUGUAUAGACUUUACCAUCUGUCUAGCCUCAGUAAAGCUACCGUUAUCCGUAACUUGGCAUCGGAGUCAUUGUUGCCCCCGUGCCUAGCCCAGGAUCUAGCGGUAUACCUUCGGGUGGUAUCGAGGAUAAACCACGCCCUGGCAUCACGAAUACAAGGGGUUAAUGCCAUCUGCCACUAGGAUAACAUCAUUUUCCCUCAUCACACCCCGUUAUCCCAUUUAUGUGUGUUGACUUGGACUCUAAAGCGUGAUCCGGUUAUCCGGUGGAUAAAAGUUAAGUUCAGAAUUCCCCUUUAAAUUGAGGUAAAAAGUAGCAACUUCAAAAUACUAGGACAAAGAUUACACAAAGAAGAACAAAGAGGAAACUGAAAUACUAGAAACUAAGAAAAAGAUACUAGAGAGCAUGAAGAAGUACUGUGAUGUGGUUUCUACUAUAAUCUAAACAGAACUGCACAAGCCAGGGAUUUUUAAUGCAAGGCUAAACAAUAAGAAGUACUGUGGAGCUGACAGUAAAGAUUAGCUGACCCAGACCAAUAGAUCAGUUGUUCUAUAGUUACAGAGCAAUUGCCCCAAACAGGAGAAGACAGAAUGGCAAGAAGGUUCCUGUUGUUCAUAACAACAACACUUAUAUUCUCACUUCCUUUGAAUCCAAAAACUCCACACUCGUCUUUAUGGAUAAACAGACACUGACAGCAAUACUCAUGCAACAUGAUUAUAUGUAGUAAAAUGCAAUACUUUUAUGCACGUAAGACGCGUUUCCGGGGCCAAUACGGCCCCUUCAUCAAGAAGGAUAAAAUUCCUAAAACAUUAUGUCAAAGGAAAUUACAUCAAAUAUGCAAAUGUGAAUCAUCCAAUACGCAAAUAUAUAAAAAUACAUAUAUAAAAGAAACACUAUCUGUAUAUAAAAAAAAUGGCAUUGUUUUUAUCACACAGAUGUCCUUUCAAUUACCAAAAGAAAUUAAAUUUAUUCAUUUAUAAAAAUUCUAUACGUUAUGGCCUAGAGACCUAAAUACGUUAAUCGAAGGGACAUCUGUGUGAAAAAUAUGAGUUUUUUUUAUACUGAUGUAUAGGGUGUUUUUUUCGAUAAAUAUUGCAUAUUAGAUGAUUUUUAUUUGCAUAUUUGAUGUUCAUGGUUUUGAUCAGUUUAUUCGUACAUGAUAAAGGGGCUGGAUCAGCGCGUAAACACGUUGCACGUGAAAAUAAAACAUUUUACUGCAUUUGAGAUAUAUAUUUGUUUUUUAUUAUUAUUAUUGUUAUUAUUAUUAUCAUCAUAUUAGAUGAUUUUCAUUUGCACAUUUGACAUGAUUUACUUUGUGGGUAUUUUACCUUCAUGAUUUUGAUCAUUUUGUUUACACCUGAUGAAGGGGCCAGAAGGGUCAUGAAACUUGUCGUACGUCAUGUGAAUAAAAAUAUGACAUUUAACAGCUGGAGGCACACUAGUUGGGAAAUACUGCUUUAAACAAAAAACAAAAAAGAUGAAACUUUUUAUUUUUUUAUUUUUUUUUAAGGUAUAACUUAUACCGGAACGGAUAAUAACCAUGUGUUAGCUGGAUGCAAAUAUGUUGAAUUUAGGACUAGCGCAGACACUUUUAGAAGCCAGUGGAGAGCCAUAUACAUAAAUUUCAGCAUAAACCAGUAUCAAAUGUUCACACAUGAAAAAUGAGAUACCGGACGGAUUAUUACUUAUUUUUCAGUUUUUUUUUUUUUUUCUUCAGGUUCUUCUAUAUCCACUAUAUUGAUGUCACCAUAGAGGAAUAGACUUACUUUGUUCUAAACAUGAAAUCCAGUGCAAAUCACCAUGUACUUACUCAUCUUCUGAUCCGGACGGCUGUGUUAAAAAAAAAAAGGCAGAAUAAGUCUGAAAUAAAGAAAAAGUAACGAUACCAUAAACCUUGUCUGCUUGGUAUAAAGUAACAGAAGAUUGGCGCUGAUCCAAGAGAUAUAACAGUGACAGCUGCUAAUGAAUAUGCCGGGGACGGAUAUCACUUUAUAUUAUUGUAUAUAUAGUGACAGGACGGCAAUUCUAGCAAAUGCUUGUUUAAUAUAAUUAAGAAAUAAAGCGUAAGUGUCACAAAUGUCUCAUGUGCUCACAGCGUUUAAAGAAAGUCAAUCAAGGCUAUUUCCACAUCUGUGUCAAAGGUUCCAUUAGGUUCCAGAUUUUGGCAUGUGAACGAGACAGAGGAAUACCCAUUGAAUUCAAUGUGCAGUUAAUUUUGCCUAAUUUCAGAGCAACAUUUUCAGGUGGAAUUCUGCACAGUGUGAACAUAGACUUUGUGAGUUUUCCCAUUAGCCUGAACAGAAAAAACGCAAAACGUGGAACACGAUUAUCUAAUAGAUUUUUUUUUAACACAUUACAUUAUGUUUUAGUUUAAAAAGAUGACUGCUGUGUUACAAAUAUAGGCACUAAAGGAUGUUCUAAUACAUUAUAUAUAAUGAAAAUUUAGAAUUAUUAUUAUGUAGAUGGAUUGCUUUUGCAAGAAGGGUCUCCUAACAAUGUUCAGGACAUUAAAGGGUACUCCGCCCCUAAACAUCUUAUCUUAAGAUGUCUGAUCAGUGGGACCCCCGCAAUCUCAGUGCAGCACCUGGCAUUCAUUUAGAAUGCUGGGUGCAGGCGGCGGGGGUCGUGAUGUCACAGCCAUGCCCCCUCAUGA